UACGUAGGGGGCUAGCGUUGUCCGGAAUCAUUGGGCGUAAAGCGCGUGUAGGCGGCCCGGUAAGUCCGCUGUGAAAGUCGGGGGCUCAACCCUCGGAUGCCGGUGGAUACUGUCGGGCUCGAGUACGGAAGAGGCGAGUGGAAUUCCUGGUGGUAGCGGUGAAAUGCGCAGAUAUCAGGAGGAACACCAAUGGCGAAGGCAGCUCGCUGGGACGGUACUGACGCUGAGGCGCGAAAGCGUGGGGAGCAAACAGG
rnacentral:rRNA from 1 species